GGGGGGGGGGCAAGCGUUGUUCGGAAUUACUGGGCGUAAAGGGCGCGCAGGCGGCCUGGCAAGUCCUACGUGAAAUCCCACAGCUCAACUGUGGAACUGCGUGGGAUACUGCUAGGCUUGAGUCCGGGAGAGGAGAGUGGAAUUCCCAGUGUAGCGGUGAAAUGCGUAGAUAUUGGGAGGAACACCGGUGGCGAAGGCGGCUCUCUGGACCGGUACUGACGCUGAGGCGCGAAAGCUAGGGGAGCAAACGGGAUUAGAUACCCCGGUAGUCCUAGCCGUAAACUUUGAGCACUUGGUGUGGCGGGUAUCGACCCCUGCCGUGCCGAAGCUAACGCAUUAAGUGCUCCGCCUGGGGAGUACGGUCGCAAGGCUG
rnacentral:rRNA from 1 species